rnacentral:rRNA from 1 species
CUUGACCUAUGAUAUGAUAUUGAGGCAGUUAUGAGUAGUAUUUUUAAUUAUUGUAGUAUUGUAAGUAUAUACUACAAGAUAAAUCGGAGGGCAAAUCGAGUGCCAGCAGCCGCGGUAAUACUUGUUCCGAUAGUGUGUAUGAUGAUUGAUGCAGUUAAAAAGUCUGUAGUUUAUGAUUAAUAAGCAUUGUGAGGUAUAUUGUAUGGUUAGGAGAGAGAUGAAAUGUGAUAACCCUAACUGGAUGAACAGAAGCGAAAGCUAUAUACUUAAAUGUAUUAUUAGAACAAGGACGUAAGCUAGAGGAUCGAAGAUGAUUAGAUACCAUUGUAGUUCUAGCAGUAAACUAUGUUAAAUCAUAGAUACAUUUUAAUAUGUAUUUAUGUAAAGAAAUUAAGAUUAUAUUGACUCUGGGGAUAGUAUGAUCGCAAGAUUGAAAAUUAAAGAAAUUGACGGAAGAAUACCACAAGGAGUGGAUUGUGC